GACUUGGUAGCUCAGUUGGUAGAGCAACUGACUCUUAAUCAGUGGGUCGAGAGUUCGAGCCUCUCCCAGGUCACCA
rnacentral:tRNA from 1 species